rnacentral:rRNA from 1 species
CGCCUCUUGCCCAAAUAUAAGAGGUCCAGCCUGCCCAGUGAUAUAAUUUAACGGCCGCGGUACCCUAACCGUGCGAAGGUAGCAUAAUCACUUGUUCUCUAAAUAAGGACUAGUAUCAACGGCAUCACGAGGGCUAUACUGUCUCCUUUCUUAAAUCAGUGAAACUGAUUCUCCCGUGAAGAAGCGGGAAUACCCCUAUAAGACGAGAAGACCCCAUGGAGCUUUAAACUCACGCACACCCCCUGAGUACCUCAACCCCCGGGACCAAUUUAAAUUGUGCGCUAGUUUUGGGUUGGGGAGACCGCGGAGUAAAACUUAACCUCCACAACAAACGGAUUAACACCCUUAUCUAAGAACCACACCUCUAAGAAUCAACAAACUGAUGUCCCAUGACCCAUUUUAUGAUCAAUGAACCAAGUUACCCUGGGGAUAACAGCGCAAUCUACUUCGAGAGCCCAUAUCGACAAGUAGGUUUACGACCUCGAUGUUGGAUCAGGGUAUCCCAGUGGUGCAGCCGCUACUAAAGGUUCGUUUGUUCAACGAUUAAAACCCU